AUGACUUCUCUAUUCCGCCGUAAUGCCGAUUACAAAUGGAGUGUGCGGUGUAAUUUUGCGUGGAUGUUUCUAAUUUUGCGUGUAAAAUAAAAAUACAAUAGAAUAACGCAACCCGUAGAGGCAUAGACGGGAGACCGCAGUUAUUGGGGAUCAAUUUGGGAACAUAGAAUAGAGUCGAAUAGAAAAGUAGUCCUCCAUUGACGAAGGCAGCACGAGAAGAAUUAAGAAAGAGACAGAGAGAGAGAUGCCGCAGCCGAGCAAGGAGCCCUGCAAGAAAGAGGCCUGCGACAUUCAAGCUUGCCUAUCCAAGAAUAACUUUCUCCCUCAAAGGUGCAUGAAACCCAUUGAACUGCUGAACUCCUGUUGUGAGAAAUGCGAUUUUAAGUCAACUCACUGUGCUUCCCUUUCUGGACUCUUGAAGCAAAAGCCAAAAUGAGAGUUGGGUUGGGUUAUAUUCUUAGAAAUCAAUGCUGGCAGCUACAACCCUUCAACCAAAAAAUAGGAAACUCACGCACACGAAACUUCAUGAGGUUACUCAUUUAGGGGAAGAAGCUUAUGAAAUAAAAAGGCACCAUGCCAUUAGUAUUGAUUAGUGGUAAAAAGAAAUUUAGAUAUUUUGGGGGUGAUAUUCCAUUAUCAUCUUUAUACCUAUGUAUGUUUUAUAUUGCUAUAUCAAUAAAAAAUUGAUACAUUAUUCAGAUUGGUAUUUAUUUUAAUUGUAUUUCCUUGAAUUGUUAUCUGAUACCUUGAUUGAGGCACAUGCUAGUUAUUUUCUUAUUGUCUUUAAUGCUAUUAUCUCCAACAAGGCAACAAUAUUGAAAGAAUGCAGAUGUUUAGGCAUUUGGUCUUUGGUAAAAGGAGCUGAGAUUUUAUUCCCUGUAGUUAAAAUUUCUAAUAGAUACACACAAUAAUUAAACAAUAAAAUAUCUCAAUUGAGAAGGAA